UACGGAGGGUGCAAGCGUUAUCCGGAUUCACUGGGUUUAAAGGGUGCGUAGGUGGGCAGGUAAGUCAGUGGUGAAAUCUCUGGGCUUAACCCAGAAACUGCCGUUGAUACUAUCUGUCUUGAAUAUAGUGGAGGUGAGCGGAAUAUGUCAUGUAGCGGUGAAAUGCUUAGAUAUGAUACAGAACACCAAUUGCGAAAGCAGCUUACUAUGCUAUUAUUGACGCUGAGGCACGAAAGCGUGGGGAUCAAACAGG
rnacentral:rRNA from 1 species